rnacentral:rRNA from 1 species
UACAGAGGUCUCAAGCGUUGUUCGGAUUCAUUUGGCGUAAAGGGUGCGUAGGCGGCGCGGUAAGUCGGGUGUGAAAUCUCGGGGCUUAACUCCGAAACUGCAUUCGAUACUGCCGUGCUUGAGGACUGGAGAGGAGACUGGAAUUUACGGUGUAGCGGUGUAAUGCGUAGAUAUCGUAAGGAAGACCAGUGGCGAAGGCGGGUCUCUGGACAGUUCCUGACGCUGAGGCACGAAGGCCAGGGGAGCAAACGGG